rnacentral:rRNA from 1 species
GAAUAUUGGACAAUGGGCGAAAGCCUGAUCCAGCCAUGCCGCGUGUGUGAAGAAGGUCUUCGGAUUGUAAAGCACUUUAAGUUGGGAGGAAGGGCAGUAAGCGAAUACCUUGCGGUUUUGACGUUACAGACAGAAUAAGCACCGGCUAACCAAGUGCCAGCAGCCGCGGUAAUACAGAGGGUGCAGGCGUUAAUCGGAAUUACGUGGCGUAAAGCGCGCGUAGUGGGUUGGUUAAGUUGGUUAUGAAAGCCCCGGGCUCAACUUGGGAACUGCAUCCAAAACUGGCGAGCUAGAGUACGGUAGAGGGUGGUGGAAUUUCCUGUGUAGCGGUGAAAUGCGUAGAUAUAGGAAGGAACACCAGUGGCGAAGGCGACCACCUGGACUGAUACUGACACUGAGGUGCGAAAGCGUGGGGAGCAAACAG